rnacentral:rRNA from 1 species
AUGAACGCUGGCGGCGUGCCUAAUACAUGCAAGUCGAGCGAACAGACGAGGAGCUUGCUCCUCUGACGUUAGCGGCGGACGGGUGAGUAACACGUGGAUAACCUACCUAUAAGACUGGGAUAACUUCGGGAAACCGAAGCUAAUACCGGAUAAUAUAUUGAACCGCAUGGUUCAAUAGUGAAAGACGGUUUUGCUGUCACUUAUAGAUGGAUCCGCGCCGCAUUAGCUAGUUGGUAAGGUAACGGCUUACCAAGGCAACGAUGCGUAGCCGACCUGAGGGGGUGAUCGGCCACACUGGAACUGAGACACGGUCCAGACUCCUACGGGAGGCAGCAGUAGGGAAUCUUCCGCAAUGGGCGAAAGCUUGACGGAGCAACGCCGCGUGAGUGAUGAAGGUCUUCGGAUCGUAAAACUCUGUUAUUAGGGAAGAACAAAUGUGUAAGUAACUAUGCACGUCUUGACGGUACCUAAUCAGAAAGCCACGGCUAACUACGUG